UGGACUUGUCAGUCAGGAUGCUUCAAUUCAAGGUAUGGGACAAGAAGCCCCAGGAACUUUGUAAGAAGAUUCUUUAAAGUUUUUAUUUAAGUCAUUUUUGUGGUAUUGGGGACUGAACCCACGGUCUUCACACUGAGCUACAUUUUGAUACAAGGUCUAUUUUGAUACAAAGUCUCUUUAAGUAAUUAAGUUGUCCAGGCUAGGCUCAUACUUGUGAUCCUCCUGCCUCAGCCUCCCAGAGUGCUGGACCCCCAUACCUGGUUUCUUUACAGCUUUUUAAUGCCCCUCCCUGAGCUAGUGUCCACACCUGCCUUCUCCAAUCAGCCACCACUGGACAAGUCUGUGGGCUGUGGGAGGAGCUGGGUGGGGGACAGUUUGUUGGUCGCCUGCCCACCCCUGCUUGGUCUGUGUUUCUGGCUGGCUGGUGAGGAGGGAGGUAGGCAGUACGGAUGGGGACGGAGCAGUCUCUCAGGCACCUGUUCUCCUCUGCCCUCUGGGUGCUGAAUUCUGGGGAGCGCAUUUGCUGCAUAGUCGGGCUGGCCUUUUGCCCCGCACGGUUCUGGCUCUGUGGGCUGGGGUUUCACGUGCACCCAUACUUGGGGCCAGCCUAGGACCAGUGACUUGUCUUCCCUGAGUCUCCCACCCAUAGGAACCAGGAAUUCACCUCCAUUUGGAGGAGCUUGCCCUCUCUGACCUCCUUCAAACUCCAGUCCACCUGGAGCCCAGCAAGGCCUAGGGCCUGCCGCAUCACCCAGAGCCUUUCCCUGUGGCCGGACGUGUUCACAGUUGCCCUCCUGUGCAGGCCUCAGAUGAGGAGUCAAACUAAACAAACUAAGGAAGUAACCGGCUUUAUGCUGCUUUGUGUCUGGCAGGCCCAGAGCAACGCCCUAGAAGGCUGGGGCUGCCUGGCCCUUCCCAGCUCCGACGGGGGCAUGUGGAGGGGCGGCAGAGGACCCUCAGCGGCUGUCCUCCCUCACCUCUGUGCCUCCUCAGCCCUUUCCUGGCCCGAGGCGGAGGAGGCUCCCCUGUGUGCUUUGUCACACACACCUUCAGACUGAGUCUCACGUGGCUCCCGGACAAGGCUAAAACUUCCGGAGCUGAGCACCACCAGGCCGAGCUGCAGCGCUGUCUAGAAGCCAGGGCCGAGGCGCCAUCCGCCCGCCCCAACUCCAAGGAACUCGAGGAGGAGGGAGUCAGGCUCCCAAAAUGCUGGUGCAAACUCCUAGUCGUCUGUCAGAAUCUAGCUCAAGUAUCAUGGCUUCUAUGAGCCUUCUCUGAUUGCUCGAUGAAAAACCAGCACCCCCUCCCGUGUUUCCUGAGAGGUCACCUACUUUUUAGGUGUCUGUUUUCCAUACUGGGUCUCAGUGUGAAGACACUGACAUAUUGUCUUCUGGGGCACCAUGUUUUUGCCUUAAUUUUUGUGUGCAUGUGCAAUUCAACUUCUGGGUAUAUACCCAGAAGAAAUGAAAGAAGUUACAGAUAUUAGUACACCCAA